rnacentral:rRNA from 1 species
GACGAACGCUGGCGGCGUGCUUAACACAUGCAAGUCGAGCGGUAAGGCCCUUUCGGGGGUACGACGAGCGGCGAACGGGUGAGUAACACGUGGGUGGACCUGCCCUCCAGCUCUGGGAUAAGCCUGGGAAACCGGGUCUAAUACUGGAUAUGACUCCAUGACGCAUGUUGUGGGGUGGAAAGCCUUGUGCGGCUGAGGAUGGGCCCGCGGCCUAUCAGCUUGUUGGUGGGGUGAUGGCCUACCAAGGCGACGACGGGUAGCCGGCCUGAGA